AUACGUAGGGGGCGAGCGUUGUCCGGAAUUAUUGGGCGUAAAGCGCGCGCAGGCGGUCCACUAAGUCUGAUGUGAAAGCCCCCGGCUUAACCGGGGAGGGUCAUUGGAAACUGGUGGACUUGAGUGCAGGAGAGGAGAGUGGAAUUCCCGGUGUAGCGGUGAAAUGCGUAGAGAUCGGGAGGAACACCAGUGGCGAAGGCGGCUCUCUGGCCUGUAACUGACGCUGAGGCGCGAAAGCGUGGGGAGCAAACAGGAUUAGAUACCCUGGUAGUCCACGCCGUAAACGAUGAGUGCUAGGUGUUGGGGGGAGCAAUCUCCUCAGUGCUGAAGUUAACACAUUAAGCACUCCGCCUGGGGAGUACGGCCGCAAGGCUGAA
rnacentral:rRNA from 1 species